AAACACUGGCUGUUUGGGGAAUCAGAACAAAAGAGGCUGAAGGCCUGAGUGAAGAGUGUCUGUGGGGCCAGAGAAGAGGGGCUGGGUUCCUCAGAAACACAACUCCAGCUGUGGCUAGGCCCACCUCCGCCAGGCAGCAGGUGCCUUCAGAGGGGGUUGUUCUGGAGGUUCGUGUCCAGCCUUCACCAUCCGUGUCACCCAGCUUUUCCCUGCCUUUUCCUGCCCCUGCUUCUCUUCCUCUCUCCCUCCCCAGUCUUCCCAGUUCCUCAGCUUUGUCCUUAAACCUCCCCUCCACCUGCUGGAAGCCCGGUUCUCCUCCUGUGUGGGGACAGUCCACCUCCGUUCUGUUCAUUGACCUUCUCAAACCCAAAGGCCUCCCUACGUCCACCUCGGUCAGUGCCUCCCACAGCCACAGCCUGGAGCUUGCCUCUCCUAAAAUGCCUGCACUUCUCAAAGCUUCGAUGGAACACGUCCCUCUGUGCUUCUGAUUCUCACUCCCUCGCCCCUGCCUCCUGUCCUGGAGCCCUGCUCCCCUGGACCUCCACCUUGCCCCCCCUCCACCUCCUCCCCUCCCUCCAGGACCCUCUGGGCUCAGCCUCCCCUGCCCAGCUGCCCAUUGUGCCCACCUGGCACCUGCUGGGCCGAUGAGCUGCCUUCCUGGCUUCAUGCCUUGGGCCGCCUCAUCCAGCUGGACAGCAGCAGGCAGGUGGAGCUCCCGGCCUGUCACCUCUUCAAGCCGUCCCAGAAGCACCUCAACAUCAGAACCCAUCUCAUCGCUGGUCUCCCAACCUGCUCCUCCUCCGGGGCUCCCCGUCUUGCUGCCCAGGAGUUCGGCUGCUCCUCCUCGUUGCCAUAUCUGGGUUCUGCUGGCCUCAUCCUGACUCUCAGUGGCAAUCGGAUGAGUUGUGGUGGCCAUGAAGGCUAUGAAGGUGGCUAUGAUGGCUCGAUUACUGCAGUGGCAGUCGUGGAGAAACCAUGUGAGAUGGGGCUGCUGGGGGAAGUGACUCGAUCAAAAUCCCCUUAGGGAUGUUUAUUAAUUUAUGCCCUCCAUAAACAUUUAUUGAGGAUCUACAAGGCACCAGGCACUGAGCUAAGCCCUAGGGACACAUCAGGGAGCUAAAAAUACACAGGCCAGAAGCUUACAGCAUAGUGGGGGGAGACAUUCAUCAUAUAAAUGUCAUAAUUAUGACCAAGACAAGUGCUCCACCAGGAUGGCCCAUGGUGGCCAAGCAUGUAAGAGGAGGCUUGAGGCUUUCUGAAGAAAUCACGGUUACACUGAGACCUAAAGGACAGACUAAAAGAAGACAGGAGGGAUGAACAUCCCAGGUGGUGGGAGCAGCAUGUGCAAAGGCCCUGGGGGGAAGUAGAGGCAACACACUGGCCAGAAGUCCCACACAGCACGUGCUUUUGUUUUUCAGCUGUAAAACAGCAUAACACAAAUUUCACCAUUUCAUCCACCUCAAAAUGUGCAACUCAGGAGUGUUGAGUAAAUUCACAGUGUUGUGUAACCGCCACGACUAUCCAGUUUCAGAAUAUUUCAUUAACCCCAGAAGGAAACCCUACACUCAUUAAGCAGCCACUCCCCUGCCCCCUCUUCCCCCCCAUCCCCGCCACCCUGGGGCCCCUGGCAACCACUCAUCUGCUGUGUGUCUCUGUGGAUUUGCCUAUUCUGGACAUUUCUUAUCAGUGGACUCACCAGUCUGUGGCCUUUUGUGUCUCCAAACAGCCAGUGAUUCCCCAAACAGCCAGUGUUUCCACCCCUGACCCCAGAGACCUCUUUCUAGGCCCAGCUUUUGUGUCUGGCUUCUCUCCCUCGGCAAUAAUCUAAAAGUUUCAUCCACAUUGGAGCAUGUAUUGGUACUUUUUUCCUUUUUAUGGCUGAAUCGUAUUCCAUUGUGUAAACAGACUGCAUUUUGUUUAUCCACUCAUCUGGACAUCUGGGCUGUUCCCACCUUUGGGCUACUGUGAAUGGAGUUACUAUGGACAUGUGCGCACAAGUUCUUGUUUGAAGACCUGAUUUCGUCUCUUUUGGCUACACACCUAAGGAGUGGAGCUGCGGGGUCACGAGAUGACUGUUUACCUUUCGGAGGAACAGCACACCCUGCUCAUUGCACCCAUUUGACGUGACUUAAGUUUGAGCUGUGGCAGUCAGACCGGGGCCAAGGUGACAUCGGAGAGUAAACACGGUUAUUUUUGGAUAUUUUCGGUUUCUUCUCAUCUCCUGUCAUUCGGGAUGUGUAAAGCGGAGGAGAACAGGCUGAGAGGGGCCAUCUGAUAAACUGCCCCUCGGAUGGAGAAACUGGCCCGUGGAGCUGGCCCUGCCAGGGAUCUUUGUCAGUUUUGUUCCUUGACGUAUCUCAACCCUAAAACAGUGGUUGGCACACAGCUGAUGCUCAGUAACUAUUUGCCGCAUGAAUAAAGAAGCACAAUGAACUGUUUCAAGUGCUCUAAAAUCCCAAGAAAAUGGACAUUCGUCAGCUAGAACCAGAGAGAAUGGACCAACAUUGCAGCCAGAAGGGUCUCAGCCCCUCCUUCAAGCCCCCAGCAGAUGACACACGCAUCCACGUUGUCUUGCAAAACAACAGCCCGGUGUCUGGUGGGACCUGGGAAAGGAAGAGUCCUGGAGGUAGAUGAAACUGUGUUACGUUUGAUUACUUAGACGAAGCCAAAUGAUUGCCAAGUCACGUGUGAGGCAAGAAACACGGGUGCGUGGCAAAGCCUACAGGAGUAUCUGAAGACUGGAAAGAAAUUCGGGACACGAUAGCGGACAAUGGUGUGAGAAGUGGUGCGUCACUACACUCCUGAUGGCCCAGAGGGUGAUGCCGGGUAGGAAAACACUGAGGAUUCUGAAUCAAAAAGAAAUUUAGGGAAGUUGGACUCUGAAUGUGAAGACAUUUGGGGACUAUUUUAGCCAACUUGUUUUACCUAUCAUUUCCUUUCUGGUACAGGCAUAAGAGUGAUUUUGACUUCGAAAAAAAAAAGGGAUAUUGAAAUAAAUCUGAGAAAAUUCUUUCAUUAUGCACAAAACAAAAAUUGGUCUUCAUGGCUUUCUAAAAUUAUUUUUGGUUAUGGCAAAAAUACACAGAACAUAAAACCUUCCUAACCAUUUAUAACUGCACAGUUAAGUGGUCUUAGGUACCUACACAUUUUUGUGCAACCAUUACCACAAUCUAUCGUCAAGGAAGCAUUUCUCGUGGUGAUUCGUGGUGCCUGAUUCGUGGUGCCUCAUACAAUUGAUGGCACCUUGGACCUCAUAAGACACGGCGUAGUGGUCAGCAUAGACAAAAUGCAGCCCUCCCCUGGAGGAGCUCCGUUGCCCACCCAGCUCGAACCCCCUGGCUUUGACAGGUGCACCUUUUUUCUCCCUGGCUCAAAAGGAAUGCACAGCACAAGUAGGACCCAGUCAUGGUUGGUGCCCUCCCCUCCUCCAGUCCUGGGCCCGGACCAGAACUGAGUAAGUCUUAAUCCCUCUGACUUCAGGUUCUUAUCUGUAAGAUCCGUAGUCUCAAUGACCUCUAAGAUCCUACUGUGGGGCACCUGGGUGGCUCAGUCAGUUAGGUGUCUGC